UUUUCUCUCUCUCUCCAAUUCUCUUCUCUCCCUCUCUCUUAAUUUCUCUCCCAAUCUUCAUCUAUUUUAGAAUCUGAUCAUACCACGCUGUAGCAGAGGAGUUAAGGAACAUUUCUACCCGAUCAGAUUUUCAAACAGAGUAAGUUCAUUUUUACUCUAAAUAUCCUGUUCUCUGUUUUUCCUUAGGAUUUAGUCAUCAAUCUUGGUGGGGUCAGUUGAGAAGUUUAAUCCUCUCAACUUAUUCUAUUAUAUACUGAAUUUUUGUUCUGUUUGGAUAAUUUGCAUUAGGCCUGUAAAUCUUGAAGCUUAUCCAAACGGUGGGGAAUAAAAUUCUAAAAGUUGCUUGGAAAGCAAGCAAUU
rnacentral:lncRNA from 1 species